CCUACGGGAGGCAGCAGUGGGGAAUAUUGCGCAAUGGGCGAAAGCCUGACGCAGCGACGCCGCGUGAGGGAUGAAGGUCUUCGGAUCGUAAACCUCUGUCAGCAGGGAAGAACGGUCACUGUGCUAAUCAGCAGUGAAUUGACGGUACCUGCAAAGGAAGCACCGGCUAACUCCGUGCCAGCAGCCGCGGUAAUAAGGAGGGUGCGAGCGUUAAUUGGAAUUACUGGGCGUAAAGCGGUCGUAGGCGGUAUGUCAAGUCAAGGGGGAAAUCCCCGCGCUCAACGUGGGAACUGCCGUUGAAACUGGCAAACUGGAGUGUGUGAGAGGAUAGUGGAAUGCCAGGUGUAGGAGUGAAAUCCGUAGAUAUCUGGAGGAACAUCAGUGGCGAAGGCGGCUAUCUGGCACAUAACUGACGCUGAGGAGCGAAAGCGUGGGUAGCAAACAGGAUUAGAUACCCGAGUAGUC
rnacentral:rRNA from 1 species